UACGUAGGGCGCAAGCGUUGUCCGGAUUUAUUGGGCGUAAAGAGCUCGUAGGCGGUCCGUCACGUCGGCUGUGAAAACCCGAGGCUCAACCUCGGGCCUGCAGUCGAUACGGGCAGACUAGAGUGCGGUAGGGGAGACUGGAAUUCCUGGUGUAGCGGUGAAAUGCGUAGAUAUCGAGAGGAACACCAGUGGCGAAGGCGAGUCCCUGGACAGAUCCUGACGCUGAGGCACGAAAGCGAGGGGAGCAAACAGG
rnacentral:rRNA from 1 species